CAUUACCGAGUUUACAACUCCCAAACCCAAUGUGAACCAUACCAAACUGUUGCCUCGGCGGGGUCACGCCCCGGGUGCGUCGCAGCCCCGGAACCAGGCGCCCGCCGGAGGGACCAACCAAACUCUUUUCUGUAGUCCCCUCGCGGACGUUAUUUCUUACAGCUCUGAGCAAAAAUUCAAAAUGAAUCAAAACUUUCAACAACGGAUCUCUUGGUUCUGGCAUCGAUGAAGAACGCAGCGAAAUGCGAUAAGUAAUGUGAAUUGCAGAAUUCAGUGAAUCAUCGAAUCUUUGAACGCACAUUGCGCCCGCCAGUAUUCUGGCGGGCAUGCCUGUCCGAGCGUCAUUUCAACCCUCGAACCCCUCCGGGGGGUCGGCGUUGGGGAUCGGGAACCCCUCAGACGGGAUCCCGGCCCCGAAAUACAGUGGCGGUCUCGCCGCAGCCUCUCCUGCGCAGUAGUUUGCACAACUCGCACCGGGAGCGCGGCGCGUCCACGUCCGUAAAACACCCAACUUCUGAAAUGUUGACCUCGGAUCAGGUAGGAAUACCCGCUGAACUUAAGCAUAU
rnacentral:rRNA from 1 species